rnacentral:lncRNA from 1 species
UCAUGCAUAUGGAAAAUUAUCCACUCAUCUGACUCGAAAGCAACAAAACUCAAAGCUGAUAUCGAAGGAAAUCCUACUGACGUCCCGCCGGUAGAAUAUCAGGAUUAUCUGAAUACAAAUGAGACAUGUUCAAGAAUGACUCAAAAAAACAUAUAACCUAUUUAAUACACUUAUCUAAGGGUGUAUUCCAUAACCCUAUAUGUUUUUGAACUAACUAGUCAAUUUUCUCAAAAACCCAAAAUUUAACGGUUUUCCCGAAAUCUAAUCCAUAAUAAAACAACUAAUAAAAUUGAUAAUAAUUCACUAAAUAACCCUCAAUUAUUCAUCAAAUCAAUCUGCAAAAAUUAAUAUUACAGCUAGGGACUAAUCUGUAAUUUAUCCUAUUUUUAAGGGUCAAAUUGCAACUUUUGUCAAAUUGAAGGACCAAACUGAAAUUUGUCAUAAAUCCAUUACUAUACUGAAUUUCUGACCAUAAUUAGUCCUCAUUUCUGUCCAGAUCAUCUCAUUAUACUCCAAGGACCAUUCUGGAAUUUUACCAAAUUUUUAGGGUCAAAUUGUAAUUUUUGUCAAAUUGGAGGACUAAAUUGAAAGUGUUAAAAUUUCAUAACUAUACUAGAAUUCUGCCCUUAAUUCAUAUAUUAUUCUGUUCAGAAUCUCGGAAUAGGCUCCAGGGACCAAUCUGUAAAUUUUCCAAAGUUUGGGGACUAAAAUGUAAUUUUCCAAAAUUGAGGGACCAAACCGAAAUUGUCAUCUUCAACCUCAAACCCAGAAUUCUCACAGAUUACCUACUGUUCUUGCCAAAUUUCUAACUCAACAUUCACCAUUUACACAAUUCAUAACUCAAAAUCAUCACAAUCUUCCAUAAUCAACUCAUUAAUCAAUUACCCAUAACAAUCAACCUUAUAACAUUCAAUUUAAUUCAUCAAUUAACCCAAAACACAAAUUUUCAAAACCCUAACAUUCAUCAAAACUGAAAUUAAAGCUUAAUUAACACAUAUUUAUACAUAAUCUUACCUUUAAACUUAUUUUCUUCAACUCCUUUCUAUUUCCCUUCUAAUUUCCCUCUUUUCUCUUCUUCUUCUUCUUUCUCCCUUCUCUCUCACGGUUUGCUCUCUCAAAUAUUCAGAUCUCCUUUUUUUUUUCUUCUUUCUAUUUAUAUUUAUCAUCUCUUUAUUCAAUUACUACUAUACCCCUCAUUCAUUUAUUCCAAC